rnacentral:rRNA from 1 species
UAAGGAAUAUUGGACAAUGGAGGCAACUCUGAUCCAGCCAUGCCGCGUGAAGGAAUAAGGCCCUAUGGGUUGUAAACUUCUUUUAGACGGGACAAAACCCCUUUACGUGUAAAGGGUUGAUGGUACUGUCAGAAUAAGCAUCGGCUAACUUCGUGCCAGCAGCCGCGGUAAUCCGAAGGAUGCAAGCGUUAUCCGGAAUGAUUGGGUUUAAAGGGUGCGUAGGCGGACUAAUAAGUCAGUGGUGAAAGCCUGCAGCUUAACUGCAGGAUUGCCAUUGAUACUGUUAGUCUUGAGUACAGUUGAGGUAGGCGGAAUGUGUCAUGUAGCGGUGAAAUGCUUAGAUAUGACACAGAACACCGAUUUCGAAGGCAGCUUGCUAAGCUGUAACUGACGCUGAGGCACGAAAGCGU